rnacentral:rRNA from 1 species
UGCCGGCGACCGGCGCACGGGUGAGUAGCACGUAUGCAACCUGCCCGUCUCAGGGGGAUAAUCGUCGGAAACGGCGUCUAAUACCCCGUAUGAAGCUGGACGGCAUCGUCUGGUUUUGAAAGAAUAACGGAGACGGAUGGGCAUGCGGCGCAUUAGCUAGUUGGCGGGGUAACGGCCCACCAAGGCGACGAUGCGUAGGGGUUCUGAGAGGAAGGUCCCCCACACUGGUACUGAGACACGGACCAGACUCCUACGGGAGGCAGCAGUGAGGAAUAUUGGUCAAUGGGCGAGAGCCUGAACCAGCCAAGUCGCGUGAGGGAGUACUGCCCUAUGGGUUGUAAACCUCUUUUGUCGGGGAGCAAAAGCCGGACGUGUCCGUCUGUGAGAGUACCCGAAGAAAAAGCAUCGGCUAACUCCGUGCCAGCAGCCGCGGUAAUACGGAGGAUGCGAGCGUUAUCCGGAUUUAUUGGGUUUAAAGGGUGCGCAGGCGGAUUUUUAAGUCAGCGGUCAAAUCGUGGGGCUCAACCCCAUCCAGCCGUUGAAACUGGGGAUCUAGAGUGUGCGAGAGGUAUGCGGAAUGCGUGGUGUAGCGGUGAAAUGCAUAGAUAUCACGCAGAACCCCGAUUGCGAAGGCAGCAUACCGGUGCACAACUGACGCUCAGGCACGAAAGCGUGGGUAUCGAACAGGAUUAGAUACCCUGGUAGUCCACGCAGUAAACGAUGAAUGCUACCUGUUUGGCCAGAUUGAAGGCUGAGCGGG